GCCUACUGAAACACUAGCCCCUCUACAUAGGUAAGAGGCCUGUAGCCUACUGAAACACUAGCCCCUCUACAUAGGUAAGAGGCCUGUAGCUUACUGAAACACUAGCCCCUCUACAUAGGUAAGAGGCCUGUAGCUUACUGAAACACUAGCC